rnacentral:rRNA from 1 species
CUUUUGACCUCGGAUCAGGUAGGGAUACCCGCUGAACUUAAGCAUAUCAAUAAGCGGAGGAAAAGAAACCAACAGGGAUUGCCCUAGUAACGGCGAGUGAAGCGGCAACAGCUCAAAUUUGAAAUCUGGCUCUUUUAGAGUCCGAGUUGUAAUUUGCAGAGGGCGCUUUGGCUUUGGCAGCGGUCCAAGUUCCUUGGAACAGGACGUCACAGAGGGUGAGAAUCCCGUACGUGGUCGCUGGCUAUUGCCGUGUAAAGCCCCUUCGACGAGUCGAGUUGUUUGGGAAUGCAGCUCUAAAUGGGAGGUACAUUUCUUCUAAAGCUAAAUAUUGGCCAGAGACCGAUAGCGCACAAGUAGAGUGAUCGAAAGAUAAAAAGCACUUUGGAAAGAGAGUCAAACAGCACGUGAAAUUGUUGAAAGGGAAGCGCUUGCAGCCAGACUUGCUUACAGUUGCUCAUCCGGGUUUCUACCCGGUGCACUCUUCUGUAGGCAGGCCAGCAUCAGUUUGGGCGGUAGGAUAAAGGUCUCUGUCACGUACCUCCUUUCGGGGAGGCCUUAUAGGGGAGACGACAUACUACCAGCCUGGACUGAGGUCCGCGCAUCUGCUAGGAUGCUGGCGUAAUGGCUGUAAGCGGC